GUCCAGACUCCUACGGGAGGCAGCAGUGAGGAAUAUUGGUCAAUGGACGCAAGUCUGAACCAGCCAAGUAGCGUGCAGGAUGACGGCCCUCCGGGUUGUAAACUGCUUUUAGUUGGGAAUAAAAGGGGGCUCGUGAGCCCCGUAUUGUAUGUACCAUCAGAAAAAGGACCGGCUAAUUCCGUGCCAGCAGCCGCGGUAAUACGGAAGGUCCGGGCGUUAUCCGGAUUUAUUGGGUUUAAAGGGUGCGCAGGCGGAAGAUCAAGUCAGGGGUAAAAUUGGGGGGCACAACCUCUUCGAGCCGUUGAAACUGGUUUUCUUGAGUGAGUGAGAAGUAUGCGGAAUGCGUGGUGUAGCGGUGAAAUGCAUAGAUAUCACGCAGAACUCCGAUUGCGAAGGCAGCAUACCGGCGCUCAACUGACGCUCAUGCACGAAAGUGUGGGUAUCGAACAGGAUUAGAUACCCGUGUAA
rnacentral:rRNA from 1 species